rnacentral:rRNA from 1 species
UACGUAGGGGGCAAGCGUUGUCCGGAAUUAUUGGGCGUAAAGCGCGCGCAGGCGGUUUCUUAAGUCUGAUGUGAAAGCCCUCGGCUUAACCGAGGAGGGUCAUUGGAAACUGGGAGACUUGAGUGCAGAAGAGGAAAGUGGAAUUCCAAGUGUAGCGGUGAAAUGCGUAGAGAUUUGGAGGAACACCAGUGGCGAAGGCGACUUUCUGGUCUGUAACUGACGCUGAGGCGCGAAAGCGUGGGGAGCAAACAGG